rnacentral:rRNA from 1 species
UCCUGGGAAACGGGUGGUAAUGCCGGAUGUGCCGGGCUCCUGCAUGGGGGUCCGGGAAAGCUCUGGCGGCGUGGGAUGGGGUCGCGUCCUAUCAGCUUGUUGGCGGGGUGAGGGCCCACCAAGGCUUCGACGGGUAGCCGGCCUGAGAGGGCGACCGGCCACAUUGGGACUGAGAUACGGCCCAGACUCCUACGGGAGGCAGCAGUGGGGAAUAUUGCACAAUGGGCGCAAGCCUGAUGCAGCGACGCCGCGUGCGGGAUGGAGGCCUUCGGGUUGUAAACCGCUUUUGUUUGGGAGCAAGCCCUUCGGGGUGAGUGUACCUUUCGAAUAAGCACCGGCUAACUACGUGCCAGCAGCCGCGGUAAUACGUAGGGUGCGAGCGUUAUCCGGAUUUAUUGGGCGUAAAGGGCUCGUAGGCGGUUCGUCGCGUCCGGUGUGAAAGUCCAUCGCCUAACGGUGGAUCUGCGCCGGGUACGGGCGGGCUGGAGUGCGGUAGGGGAGACUGGAAUUCCCGGUGUAACGGUGGGAUGUGUAGAUAUCGGGAAGAACACC